GAGGAAGGAACGCGCCUGGCGUCACUGAGGGUGUCACCCGGGACCGCGGCUCAGGAACCCCAGACGCACGGGCCUUGUGCUGUCGCUGCCGUGGCACCCCUUCUAGAAGAAAAUCUAGGUAUCUUGCACCAAGAAGUGGAAAAUAAAGAAGAGAAAUGAGAACCAUGUUUGUAUUGGCUGUCUAUAAAAUAAGAGUUCUAGGUACAUGAAAUCCACUGGUGUGCUGGUAAAUGUUUAAUAACCAGUCCUCUGGAAAGGAGAAAGUUGAAGACCCCAUUUAUACAUUUGCUCAUUUCUGUGGUGUAAAUACCCUGAAAAUAGCUGAUUUCGAGCUAUCAACAUUACUGAAGAUGGAGCUGGGAAGAGGGAGAAGUUAAGUGAAGUUUUCCAACCCACAGCUGGAAAGAGUUUAACAAUUCACGGUUGCACAGUAGCGCUAGCGGCUUUGCGGUUUGGUCCUCAGACCCGGCAGCCGCCACUGGUGAUGAGCUGCUAGGAAGCCCCUGUCGGCAAGCUCGUUGGAGCUUGAAUCCACUGUCACCCCUCUGACUCACUGGCAAAAAAAAAAAAAAAGUUGAAGCAGAUUGUCCAGCAAAGUUCUUCAUUGGUGGGCUUAAUACGGAAACAAAUAAGAAAGCUCUUGAAGCAGUAUUUGGCUAAUAUGGACGAAUAGUGGAAGCACUCUUGAUGAAAGAGCAUGAAACCAACAAAUCAAGAGGAUUUGCUUUUGUCACCUUUGAAAGCCCAGCAGAUGCUAAGGAUGCAGCCAGAGACAUGAAUGGAAAGUCAUUAGAUGGAAAAGCCAUCAAGGUGGAACAAGCCACCAAACCAUCAUUUGAAAGUGGUAGACGUGGACUGCCUCCACCUCCAAGAAGUAGAGGCCCUCCAAAAGGUCUUAGAGGUGGAAGAGGAAGAAGUGGAGGAACCAGGAGACCUCCCUCAUGGAGAAGACACAUGGAUGACAGUGGAUACUCCAUGAAUUUUAACAUGAGUUCUUCCAGGGGACCACUCCCAGUAAAAAGAAGACCACCACCAAGAAGUGGGGGUCCUCCUCCUAAGAGUUCUGCACCUUCAGGACCAGUUCGCAGCAGCAGUGGAAUGGGAGGAAGAGCUCCUGUGUCACGUGGAAGAGAUAGUUAGUGCGGUCCACCUGGAAGGGAACCGCUGCCCUCUCGUAGAGGGUUCUUCUUGAAGACAGUUCUUCAAGCAGAGAUUAGCCAAGUUCUCGUGAUACAAGAGGUUAUGCACCACCACCACCGCGAGAUUGUACUUACCGUGAUUAUGGUCAUUUCAGUUCACGUGAUGACUAUCCAUCAAGAGGCUAUAGCGAUAGAGAUGGAUAUAAUAGUGAUCAUGACUAUUCAGAUCAUCCAGCUGGAGAUUCCUACAGAGAUUCAUAUGAAAGUUAUCGUAACUCACGUAGUGCUCCACCUACAGGAGGGCCCCCGCCCCCCCAUCUUAUGGUGGAAGCGAUGAUUAUAGCAGUUCACGUGACGGAUAUGGUGGAAGUCGAGACAGUUACUCAAGCAGCCGAAGUGAUCUCUAAUCAAGUGGUCGUGGUCGGGUUGGCAGACAAGAAAGACGGCUUCCCCCUUCUAUGGAAAUCCUCCACGUGAUUCCCACGGCAAUUCAGGCGGUGGAGCACCAAGAGGUGGUGGCAGUGGAGGAAGCCGAUCUGAUAGAGGGGGAGGCAGAAGCAGAUACUAGAAACAAACAAAACUUUAGACCAAAAUCCCAGUUCAAAGAAACAAACAAAAAGUGCAAACUAUUCUGUCAUAACUACCCAAGGACUACUUAAAGGAAAAAUUGUGUUACCUUUUAAAAAUUCCCUGUUAAGUUCCCCUCCGUAAUUUUUAUGUUCUUGUGAGGAAA
rnacentral:lncRNA from 1 species